CCCUGCGCGUGUUUUCUGUGCCUGCCUGUGCACACAUCAGCGGAGGUUGUGCACGCAUACCCCAAUGUAUGGUGAUUCUAACGGCGCGCCUCGGAGAGGGCGUGCUGGCGACCAACUCGCGCUCGCUCGCUGACUCUCGGCACCCUCGCUCCUGAUUUCCUGCUCUGCGCCGGCAAGCGAGUGGGCACGAGUCCCCGCGGGCACCAUACUUAUUCCUUUCUCUGUGUACUCCAUUCAUUCACGUCCGCACGCAUUCCUCGCGACACGGCGGUGCGACGACGUCGGGGGGACGAUGUGGCCUGCCCCCCUCGCUGCGCAGUGGCGGCGCGCUCUUUGCUCUGCCUGUGAGUGCGCCUUCCUGCUGCCGUAUGGGCCGCGGACGGGCGACAGUGACCGCACGGCCCCUUGUCUCUCGUUAUGUCUUCUGUCCAUGCGCCGAGAAGGUAGGUCUCGCCCCCGGGGCCCCCCUGCAUGUCCCCACCCGGUGGCACCGUACGCUGGAAGGACGUGUUGCACCGCACUCUCGCCGGUGCGCACGCACAGGCGUAUGCGCGUGCCUGUGCUCUUGUAUGACAGACGCGCUCGACUCCUGCCGGCAUGGCCUCGGUGUAGGCGGCCCGACCGCACGCACACACGCCGGGGGCCGGAUCGAUGGAGACGGAUGUGCCGACUCGCACGUGGCCGCGUUGCAACUCCUUCCCUUUCGCCGUCUCUCUCCCGCUUUCUUCUUCUCCUCACGGUGGCGAGGGAACAG
rnacentral:misc_RNA from 1 species